CACCCAGACUCCUACGGGAGGCAGCAGUGAGGAAUAUUGGUCAAUGGGCGGAAGCCUGAACCAGCCAAGUCGCGUGAGGGAAGAAGGCCCUGCGGGUCGCAGACCUCUUUGGACGGGGAGCAAGGCCGCCGACGUGUCGGCGGAAGGAGAGUACCCGUAGAACAAGCAUCGGCUAACUCCGUGCCAGCAGCCGCGGUAAUACGGAGGAUGCGAGCGUUGUCCGGAAUGACUGGGCGUAAAGGGAGCGUAGGCGGCGCGGUAAGUUAGGAGUGAAAUCCCGGGGCUCAACCCCGGAACUGCUUUUAAAACUGCCGUGCUUGAGUGAUGGAGAGGAAAGCGGAAUUCCUAGUGUAGCGGUGGAAUGCGUAGAUAUUAGGAAGAACACCGGUGGCGAAGGCGACUUUCUGGACUGUAACUGACGUUGAGGCACGAAAGUGUGGGGAGCAAACAGGAUUAGAUACCCCAGUA
rnacentral:rRNA from 1 species